rnacentral:rRNA from 1 species
AGUAANACGUGGGUAACCUGCCUUAUAGUGGGGGAUAGCCUUUCGAAAGGAAGAUUAAUACCGCAUAAGAUUGUAGUAUCGCAUGAUAUAGCAAUUAAAGGAGCAAUUCGCUAUAAGAUGGACCCGCGUCGCAUUAGCUAGUUGGAGGGGUAACGGCCCACCAAGGCGAUGAUCAGUAGCCGGUCUGAGAGGAUGAACGGCCACAUUGGGACUGAGACACGGCCCAGACUCCUACGGGAGGCAGCAUG